UAGAGUUUGAUCCUGGCUCAGGAUGAACGCUAGCGGCAGGCUUAACACAUGCAAGUCGAGGGGCAGCAUGAUAUUAGUUUACUAAUAUUGAUGGCGACCGGCGCAAGGGUGAGUAACGCGUGAGCAACAUGCCCGUAUCAGGGGAAUAACCCGAAGAAAUUCGGACUAAUACCGCAUAAUAUUUUAGAUAGGCAUCUAUUUAUAAUUAAAGAUUUAUCGGAUACGGAUUGGCUCGCGUGACAUUAGCUAGAUGGUAGGGUAACGGCCUACCAUGGCGACGAUGUCUAGGGGUUCUGAGAGGAAGGUCCCCCACACUGGAACUGAGACACGGUCCAGACUCCUACGGGAGGCAGCAGUGAGGAAUAUUGGUCAAUGGACGCAAGUCUGAACCAGCCAUGCCGCGUGAAGGUAACGGCCCUAUGGGUCUUCUACUUCUUUUGUAAGGGAGCAAUAAGUCCUACGAGUAGGAUGAUGAGAGUACCUUACGAAUAAGCGCCGGCUAACUCCGUGCCAGCAGCCGCGGUAAUACGGAGGGUGCAAGCGUUAUCCGGAUUUAUUGGGUUUAAAGGGUGCGUAGGCGGAAUUGUAAGUCAGUGGUGAAAUGUAACAGCUUAACUGUUAAACUGCCAUUGAUACUGCAGUUCUAGAAUACGGUUGCCGUGGGAGGAAUGUGUAGUGUAGCGGUGAAAUGCAUAGAUAUUACACAGAACACCGAUUGCGAAGGCAUCUCACGAAGCCGUCAUUGACGCUGAGGCACGAAAGUGUGGGUAGCAAACAGGAUUAGAUACCCUGGUAGUCCACACCGUAAACGAUGAUAACUAGUUGUUAGCGAUAUACCGUUAGUGACUAAGCGAAAGCGAUAAGUUAUCCACCUGGGGAGUACGUUCGCAAGAAUGAAACUCAAAGGAAUUGACGGGGGCCCGCACAAGCGGAGGAACAUGUGGUUUAAUUCGAUGAUACGCGAGGAACCUUACCCGGGCUCGAACGGUAUGUGAACGAUUCAGAGAUGAUGAGGUCCUUCGGGACACAUAUCGAGGUGCUGCAUGGUUGUCGUCAGCUCGUGCCGUGAGGUGUCGGCUUAAGUGCCAUAACGAGCGCAACCCUUGUCGAUAGUUGCCAUCAGGUUAAGCUGGGGACUCUAUCGAGACUGCCACCGUAAGGUGUGAGGAAGGGGGGGAUGACGUCAAAUCAGCACGGCCCUUAUGUCCGGGGCGACACACGUGUUACAAUGGUGACUACAGAGGGUAGCUAUGUAGCGAUACAAUGCCAAUCUCAAAAAGUCAUCUCAGUUCGGAUCGGAGUCUGCAACUCGACUCCGUGAAGUUGGAUUCGCUAGUAAUCGCGCAUCAGCCAUGGCGCGGUGAAUACGUUCCCGGGCCUUGUACACACCGCCCGUCAAGCCAUGGAAGCUGGGGGUGCCUGAAGUUCGAGACCGCAAGGAUCGACCUAGGGCAAAACUGGUAACUGGGGCUAAGUCGUAACAAGGCCGUAA
rnacentral:rRNA from 1 species